GCGAAAGUGGCGGAAUCGGUAGACGCGCCAGCCUUAGGAGCUGGUGGCCAUCCGGCCGUGGGGGUUCGAGUCCCCCCUUUCGCA
rnacentral:tRNA from 2 species